UCAAAUACUGCAGGUUGGUGAUGUCCCUCAGUGUCUUAUCCAAAGUGGCAUUUCAGUUAAGCACGUGCUAGAAAGGCGUGUGUGGCGCCCACGGAUGUGAAAGGGUGCAUCUGAUUGAAAUGCACAAGAGUUAGACGAACCGUCGGCAUGUGACGACCAGGAAUGAGGACACGCUGGGACAUCGCAGCCCCACAAGGCGCCUCUGCAGGAUUCAGUAGGAUUAAGGUUUCCCCACAGAACACUUGAGUUCAUCGUUACUUUGCUGCCCCCUGCUGUGUGACUGCUGUCAUUACAGGUCAGCCAAGCAAAACUUUAAAUUCAACUUGCACGUUUUCAGUUUCUUUGUUUUUAUUUUACAGUAGUCUUUGGGAAAUAUCAAAGCAGUAAGAUAAUGAUAAAAAUGUACAUUUUUAUAUAAAGUGACU